GGCUCAGGGUCAGCUCAUUUGAAAAGCGGCUGCCUUUUCUUCUUUUCUCUUCUCUUCUCUUUUUUUUUCUCUCUCUCUUUCAUUCACAUUAUAGCUUGAGUCAGAACUUCAUUCCUUUUUAAGGCUGAAGGACCACAUUUUGCUUGUUUGUUCAUGUGAUCGAUGAUGAUGGACACUUAGGUUGUUUCCACUUUUUAGCUAUCGUAAACACUGUUGCUAAUGGAAUAUGGGUGUACAAAUAUUUCUUCAAGAUCUUGCUUUCAAUUCUUUUGGGUAUAUACCCAGAAGUGGAACUGCUGCAUCAUAUGGUAAUUUCUGUGUUUAAUUUGUUGAAGAACUGCCAUACUGUUUUCCAGGUUGGCUGUUCCAUUUUUAAAUUUUAUUUAUUUAUUUAUUGUUUAUUUGUUUAUUUUUUUGAGACGGAGUUUUGCUCUUGUUGUCCAGGCUGGAGUGCAGUGGCGUGAUCUUGGCUUAUUGCAACCUCCGCCUCCCAGGUUCAAGCCAUUCUCCUGCCUCAGGUACCCAAGUAGCUGGGAUUACAGGUGUGCGCCACCAUGCCCAGCUAAUUUUUGUAUUCUAGUAGAGACAAGGUUUCACCAUGUUGGCCAGGCUGAUCUUGAACUCUUGACCUCAAGUGAUCCACCUGCCUCAGCCUCCCAAAGUGCUAGGAUUAUAGGCGUGAGCCUCCACGUCCGGCCUGGCUGUUCCAUUUUAUAUUCCAACAGUGCACAAGGGUUCCAAUUUCUCUACAUCAUCACCAACACUUAUUAUUAUUAU
rnacentral:lncRNA from 1 species